AUUCCAGCCUUGCUGUGCCUGCAGAAGGGGUCCUACAGUCUAGUGGGUCUAAGAGCUUGGGUUGGGCUUAAGUCCCAGCUCAGCCACUCACUGGCAUGGAGAGGACGGAAGGUGUUUGUCUAGUCACCUGACCUCACUGAGCCUCAGCUUCCUCAUCUGAGAGAGAGAACCUAAUGAGCAAGGCAUCUGGCCAUCUGAAGAGGUUUUGGCUUACUACUGCCUCAAGCACAAUAAUAUAUUCAGGGCCCUUGCUGUGUGUGAGCUAGGGGGUGGCAUGACAUGCUUGGCUGGGCUCAUGGUUGCUAUUUCUGCAGAUGUCAAAGAAGUUCUGUUAACUGAUGGGAAUGAAAAGGCCAUCAGAAAUGUGCGAGACAUCAUCACAAGGAAUCGGAAGGCUGGUGUGUUUAAGACCCAGAAAAUAUCAAGCCGAUGUUAUGCACUUACAAAGAAAGGAAAGGACCUGACUUACAGUCAUCUCUCAUUUGUCUGGAAUUAAUUAAUCUUGUAGGUCUUCUGAGCGUUUUACGAUGGGAUAAUGAGACAGAUGUCUCUCA
rnacentral:sRNA from 1 species